GACAGAGGUCGCAAGCGUUGUUCGGAUUUACUGGGCGUAAAGGGCGUGUAGGCGGAUGUGCAAGUCGGGGGUGAAAGGCCAGGGCUCAACCCGGGACGGUCUCCCGAAACUGCGCAUCUCGAGAAAGUCAGAGGCAGGUGGAAUUCCAGGGGUAGAGGUGAAAUUCGUAGAGAUCUGGAGGAACUCCGGCGGCGAAGGCGGCCUGCUGGGGCUUUUGUGACGCUGAGGCGCGAAAGCGUGGGGAGCAAACAGG
rnacentral:rRNA from 1 species